CCUACGGGAGACAGCAGUAGGGAAUCUUCCACAAUGGGCGAAAGCCUGAUGGAGCAACGCCGCGUGGGUGAAGAAGGUCUUCGGAUCGUAAAACCCUGUUGUUAGAGAAGAAAGUGCGUGAGAGUAACUGUUCACGUUUCGACGGUAUCUAACCAGAAAGCCACGGCUAACUACGUGCCAGCAGCCGCGGUAAUACGUAGGUGGCAAGCGUUAUCCGGAUUUAUUGGGCGUAAAGGGAACGCAGGCGGUCUUUUAAGUCUGAUGUGAAAGCCUUCGGCUUAACCGGAGUAGUGCAUUGGAAACUGGGAGACUUGAGUGCAGAAGAGGAGAGUGGAACGCCAUGUGUAGCGGUGAAAUGCGUAGAUAUAUGAAAGAACACCAGUGGCGAAAGCGGCUCUCUGAUCUGUAACUGACGCUGAGGUUCGAAAGCGUGGGUAGCAAACAGGAUUAGAUACCCGUGUAGUC
rnacentral:rRNA from 1 species